GACGAACGCUGGCGGCGUGCUUAACACAUGCAAGUCGAACGAUGAAGAAGAGAAACGCGAACUUCGGUUCAAAUUUCACUUCGGAUUAGUGGCAGACGGGUGAGUAACGCGUGAGCAACCUACCUCUUACAAAGGGAUAGCCUCGGGAAACCGUGAUUAAUACCAUAUGACACAUUCAUAAGGCAUCUUAAGAAUGUUAAAGCUACGGCGGUAAGAGAUGGGCUCGCGUCCCAUUAGCUAGUUGGUGAGGUAACGGCCCACCAAGGCGACGAUGGGUAACCUGCCUGAGAGGGUGAACGGUCACAUUGGAACUGAGACACGGUCCAAACUCCUACGGGAGGCAGCAGUGGGGAAUAUUGCACAAUGGAGGGAACUCUGAUGCAGCGACGCCGCGUGAGCGAUGAAGGAAUUCGUAUCGUAAAGCUCUGUUCUAUGGGAAGAAAAGGACUGUACCAUAGGAGAAAGCCCCGGCUAAAUACGUG
rnacentral:rRNA from 1 species